GACGAACGCUGGCGGCGUGCUUAACACAUGCAAGUCGAACGGAAGGGCCCUGCUUUUGUGGGGUGCUCGAGUGGCGAACGGGUGAGUAACACGUGAGUAACCUGCCCUUGACUUUGGGAUAACUUCAGGAAACUGGGGCUAAUACCGGAUAGGAGCUCCUGCGGCAGGGUGGGGGUUGGAAAGUUUCGGCGGUUGGGGAUGGACUCGCGGCUUAUCAGCUUGUGGGUGGGGUAGUGGCUUACCAAGGCUUUGACGGGUAGCCGGCCUGAGAGGGUGACCGGCCACAUUGGGGCUGAGAUACGGCCCAGACUCCUACGGGAGGCAGCAGUGGGGAAUAUUGCACAAUGGGCGGAAGCCUGAUGCAGCAACGCCGCGUGCGGGAUGACGGCCUUCGGGUUGUAAACCGCUUUCGCCUGUGACGAAGCGUGAGUGACGGUAAUGGGUAAAGAAGCACCGGCUAACUACGUG
rnacentral:rRNA from 1 species